rnacentral:snRNA from 1 species
CUCGCUUCGGCGAAAACUGGAACGAUACAGCGAACAUUAGCACGGCCCUGCGCAAGGAUGACACGCAGAUUCGCGGAGCGUUCCACAUUAAA